rnacentral:tRNA from 1 species
GUAGGUAUAGUUUAAUAAAAACAUUAGAUUGUGGUCCUUAAGACAGGGGUUAAAAUCCCCUUACUUACC